UUUGCUCUCCUUCCCACACAUCUUGCCAUAUGUGUCUCUUCCAUCUGGCUGAUGCUGUCUCCAGGUAGAUACUGUCAGAAUGGAGUUGAAUUCUAGAACAUCCAGCUAGUGUCCAACAAUUGAUCGGUGGUGUGGGGGAGAAAACCACACAUUGGAACUGAUAACAGAAUCAUACUAGUCCAAUCAUUAAAGACCCACUUGAAACACCUUUCAUCUCCUUAUAUCACUCUCCCUUUAAGAAGUACUCAUUAUGAUGCUCUGAUGUGUGACUAAAUCAUCUGGUAAAUAUCAUUGGAAUACUAUAUAUUCUCAGUUGUAACAAAAGCAAUUGUAAUCCAGAUGCAGUUGGAAAAGCUCUUCCUCUUAAGAACAAGUUUCUUCAUGAGUGAAAUAAAGACACCAAAGACACCUAUCUCCUAAGAUUUUUUCGAAGAGUUGGUGACUCGAAGCCUUCAGAUGAAAGCUCAGUAUGUGAGGACUACUAGUUGGCAUUCUCUGCAGGAGACUAGCCUCACACAGGGGUGACCCUGUGAUGCAGGAAAGGCUAUUUAAUGCCCUGGCGAAGUGGUUGAGGGACCAAGAUUUUAUUAUGCUUCCGGGAUCAGAGUGGUGAUCCAGCAUCCCUGAUUUAGAGCCACUUAGGGCUCCAACAGCUCCACCCCGGAGUUUAAGAGGAAAAUAUUCCUGCAUGGUCUCUGCCUGAUCUGAAAAACGCACAGCUUCCCGAUGUUCCGCCUGAGAGAUGGUUCAGUCUUUAGAAAUUGCCAGAGAAGCCUGUCCAUCUGCUGGGAUGCCUGGCUUUCUAGAACGGACGAGAAGGAGUUAGACUUUUAAUCGGAGUAACUUGAGGAUUUUCUGUUUGUAACUAAAAACCGCCGCUUAAUUCAAAAUAAAAAAGGCACAUGCUGUGGCAG